rnacentral:rRNA from 1 species
AUUGAACGCUGGCGGCAUGCUUUACACAUGCAAGUCGAGCGGCAGCGCGGGGUUCAGGCAACUGAGCCCUGGCGGCGAGCGGCGAACGGGUGAGUAAUACAUCGGAACGUACCCAGGAGUGGGGGAUAGCCCGGCGAAAGCCGGAUUAAUACCGCAUACGAUCUGUGGAUGAAAGUGGGGACCUAAGGGCAACUGAGGGCCUCACGCUUUUGGAGCGGCCGAUGUCCGAUUAGCUAGUUGGUGGGGUAAAGGCCUACCAAGGCGACGAUCGGUAGCUGGUCUGAGAGGAUGAUCAGCCACACUGGGAC